rnacentral:rRNA from 1 species
AUUGAACGCUGGCGGCAUGCCUUACACAUGCAAGUCGAACGGCAGCACGGGGGCAACCCUGGUGGCGAGUGGCGAACGGGUGAGUAACAUAUCGGAACAUACCCUAGAGUGGGGGAUAACGUAGCGAAAGUUACGCUAAUACCGCAUACGAUCUAAGGAUGAAAGUGGGGGAUCUUCGGACCUCAUGCUCAUGGAGUGGCCGAUAUCUGAUUAGCUAGUUGGUGAGGUAAAGGCUCACCAAGGCGACGAUCAGUAGCUGGUUUGAGAGAACGACCAGCCACACUGGAACUGAGACACGGUCCAGACUCCUACGGAGGCAGCAGUGGGGAAUUUUGGACAAUGGGGGCAACCCUGAUCCAGCGAUGCCGCGUGUGUGAAGAAGGCCUGAAGGUUGUAAGCACUUUAGUUGGGGGUAGGAAGGAAU